UAACCAUAUAAACUAUAACUCAUAAUCAUUUUUGUACAAUUUUUAAUGAUUUUUCAAAGUCAGAACAGGGGAACCCGAAUUCAUUCUGACAUUGUCUCACAAAAUCUAUUAUAUCUCAUGAUUUACAAUUCCAUUGCUCACAUCAUUUCUUUUAUAAGAAACUAGACUCAAUAAGCUUUAGUUUCAUAUUUUAUUCAUCCUCUAAUUCAAUCUCUACAAUUUUUGGUGAUUUUUCAAAAUUACACUACUGCUGCUGUCCAAAACUGCUUUAGUGCAAAAUGUUGAUUUCCAUUUUGCCCCAAAUUUCACAGUUUAUACAAUUCGGUCCUUUCUCAAUUAACCCCUCAAUUAAUCUAAUUUUCUCAAUUAGUACUUUACUAGACAUUAUAAGUUGUUACACAACUAUUGAAAUUCAGAAUUUCCACAUAUAACUCUAUCUUCAAACUCUUUUACUAUUAGGUCCCAAACAUUCACUUUCUAUUCAAUUCUUUCAAUAAAAUCAGCAUAUGAACAAUUUAAAGCUCUAAUUUCAUGCUAAAUCAUCAUAUACUUCCAGCACAUAUUCAUAUCAACUUUCAACUUCUUUCAUAAAAUCAAAAACUAAUGGAUUUAACAAGUGGGCCUAGUUGUAAAAGUCAUAAAAAUACAAAAAUUUCAAGAAAUAGUCAAGAAUUGAACUUACUUGUAAUAAAAAUAUGAAGAACCAGCUUGAAGAAGCCCUUCCAUGGUGUUUUAGCUGAUGAGAAUUCAGAAAAAUGAAGAGAAAUCUAGAUAAUUCCACUUGGGUCCUAACUUUAUUAAGCAAAUUUUGCAAUUUUCCAAUUUUGCCCUUAAUUCUCCUUACUUUCUUGCUGAUUUCAUGCCUCUGCCGUCCAGCCCAAAUAGACCUUGGGUCUAUU
rnacentral:lncRNA from 1 species